rnacentral:rRNA from 1 species
CGCGUAGGUGGUAGUGUAAGUCUGGGGUGGAAUCCCAGGGCUCAACCCUGGAACUGCCUUGGAAACUGCAUUACUUGAGUCAGUGAGGGGAGGGUAGAAUUCCUGGUGUAGCGGUGAAAUGCGUAGAUAUCAGGAGGAAGGCCUGUGGCGAAGGCGGCCCUCUGGCGCUGGACUGACACUGAGGCGCGAAAGCGUGGGGAGCAAACAGGAUUAGAUACUCUGGUAGUCCACGCCCUAAACGGUGGGCACUAGGUGUAGGGCUCGUAAGGGUUCUGUGCCGAAGGGAAACCAUUAAGUGCCCCGCCUGGGGAGUACGGCCGCAAGGUUGAA